rnacentral:rRNA from 1 species
UGCUCUGUGGGAUCAGUGGCGAACGGGUGAGUAACACGUGAGCAACCUGCCCCUGACUCUGGGAUAAGCGCUGGAAACGGCGUCUAAUACUGGAUAUGUGACGUGACCGCAUGGUCUGCGUCUGGAAAGAAUUUCGGUUGGGGAUGGGCUCGCGGCCUAUCAGCUUGUUGGUGAGGUAAUGGCUCACCAAGGCGUCGACGGGUAGCCGGCCUGAGAGGGUGACCGGCCACACUGGGACUGAGACACGGCCCAGACUCCUACGGGAGGCAGCAGUGGGGAAUAUUGCACAAUGGGCGCAAGCCUGAUGCAGCAACGCCGCGUGAGGGACGACGGCGCUUCGGGUUGUAAACCUCUUUUAGCAGGGAAGAAGCGAAAGUGACGGUACCUGCAGAAAAAGCGCCGGCUAACUACGUGCCAGCAGCCGCGGUAAUACGUAGGGCGGCAAGCGUUAUCCGGAAUUAUUGGGGCGUAAAGAGCUCGU